UAAGGAAUAUUGGUCAAUGGACGCAAGUCUGAACCAGCCAUGCCGCGUGAAGGAUGAAGGUCCUCUGGAUUGUAAACUUCUUUUAUCUGGGACGAAAACGGGAUUUUUAUCUCAGUUGACGGUACCAGAGGAAUAAGCACCGGCUAACUCCGUGCCAGCAGCCGCGGUAAUACGGAGGGUGCGAGCGUUAUCCGGAUUUACUGGGUUUAAAGGGUGCGUAGGUGGGCUUAUAAGUCAGUGGUGAAAUCUCCGAGCUUAACUUGGAAACUGCCGUUGAUACUAUAGGUCUUGAAUUAUCUGGAGGUAAGCGGAAUAUGUCAUGUAGCGGUGAAAUGCUUAGAUAUGACAUAGAACACCAAUUGCGAAGGCAGCUUACUACAUAUAAAUUGACGCUGAGGCACGAAAGCGUGGGGAUCAAACA
rnacentral:rRNA from 1 species